UAAUUCUCAAGUUCCUGCUCCUUGGAUUUUUUAGUUUUUGUGUAUAGUAUAAAAAAUAAGAAAGGGAGAGCUAAAGCAUAACGUAAUUUGCUAGUGGUUAACCAAUGGAGCGCUUGAGCAAACAUAUUUAGGCAGCAAAUCGAUAAUAUUGAAGAGUUGCCUAAUACUAAUAAAGAUUUAGGCUAAUAUAUAUGCAAUUUUGGUAACGGAUGAAAUGACAUCGGAUAAGCCACGUAACUUAAUUAGUGAAAUUGUGGGCAGACUGACUAAUUCUCUACAAUAAAAGCACCUAUGCUGCAUGUAUGAGAAAAAGUUUUUCCGUUACAGAUUUAAACAUAUUUUAACAAUUACUUACACAUUUUCAUACAUUUAUCAACUUUAUUGUUAUAUUCAUGCGGUCUUUACCUCUUCGACGCUGUAUACUGGAAACCAUAUCUUAGAAUGAGGCUUAUCAGAUGCGCAGCAAAAUGAGGCGUGAUAAACAUUUAUCUGAUUUCGAUCAACAUUAUUUCCCAAGAUCAGCAGCAGAAGGAUUAAUCUGUCUAAAAUCUAGUCCCUCGAUUUUUGAAAAGGAUCAACAAGUCUUCUAGACCCUCCAGAAUUUCAGAGCUGUAUGAAGGAUUUCUUGCUAACACGUUGGAGAGUUUCAUCAAUAGAUAUUUACAAUUAGACAUGCAUUUGCAUGCUACCGGCUGCACCAAUGGUGUUAAGCUAUGUUUCUCAGAAUUCUUCUUUUACUAUAUGCUGAUGCAUGAAAAUAGUUGUAGGCAAUAAAAGAGAAGUACUAGUAAUUAAUAUAACUACAUAUUACUGACAGAAUUGAAAAUUCAUAAUCUCAGUUAAGAUAGGUGAUAAACAACGAAAAAUAAAUAAAUAUCAUAUGAG